rnacentral:rRNA from 1 species
UUGGUCGGGCGGAACGGCCCACCAAGGCGACGAUNGUAGCCGGCCUGAGAGGGUGGACGGCCACAUUGGGACUGAGACACGGCCCAAACUCCUACGGAAGGCAGCAG